rnacentral:ncRNA from 1 species
CCAAAUGCGUGGAACGGAAGAGUAGCCGAAGCCCUGAGCCCCAGAGAGGAUCUGUACGGUGAAAGGAUCUGCAAGGGACCCGGUGAACAUGGCCCGGGAGCAGUCCGCAAGAAACGGCGGAACGGCAGGAACCGUUAUUUCCUCGAGGCAGGCAGACGCCUGCGAAUUCAGGUGGUACCACGAAGCGCGGCUUUCGUCCUGUGG